GAAGUAUGUUAUGUGGUUGUAUUUUGAAUUUUAUUAAUUUUGGUUAUUCUGAUUACAUUUACACCAUUUGAUAAAAAAAGUCGUCUAAUAAGCCAUGAAACGUAUUUUUAAAAUAAUUAUGUUGGCAUUUGACAGUAACUAUUGUGUGCUAUGCCUUAACAAUAGAACACUCUGUAUAGUUGAAAACAAUUUUGGUAUAUGCUCCUCAAAGAACUACAACUUAUAGUCUUGUACCUUUUUUAAAAUGUUGAAACAUUGGAAAAUUGAAAACUCGAAAAAUUGAAGUCGAAACAUUUUAAAAAUUGAAAAAUCGAAAAUUUAAAAAGUCGAAAAACCGAUUAUUCGAGAAAUUUGGAAAUCGAAAAAAAGAUCGAGAAAGCGAGAAGUCGAGAAGUUGAAACAUUGAAAAACUGAGAAAUCAAGUAGGCCAAAAAUGAAGAAUUCAAAAUUCAAAAAUUUAAACUUAAAAAACCCGACAUCGAAAAAUUUUAAUUUCGAAAUAUUGAAACACCGAAAAAUCUAAAAGCGAUGAAUCGAAAAAUCCAAAGAUUGAGAAAUCGAAACAUCAAAAAAAUGAAAAAUGUAAAAUUUAAAAAUUUUAAAAAAAUUUGAAAAAUAGGCAAAGCGGGAAAUCGAAAUACCUAAAACUUUACAAAUUGAAAACCCAAAGAAUCUAAAGUUUUAAAAAUUGAAAAAGUAAAAAAUCAAAUAAUCCACAAAUUGAAAAACCGAAUUAUUAAAAAUCUCAAAAUCGAAGUCAAAAAUUAAAAAAAUCGAAAAGUUGAAAAAUCGGAAAACUGAAAAACGAGAAGUCGAAACGACAAAGCGAGAAGCAAAAAGUUGAAAAAUUGAGAAAUCUAUAGUAUGUAAUCCAAAAUCGAAAAAUUCAAAAUUGAAAAAUUUAAAUUUAAAAACCGAAAAACAAAAAAAUCAAAAAAUUGAAAAACCGAAAAAUCUAAAAGCGAGAAAUUAAGAGAUCGAAAGAUUCAGAAAUCUAAACAAAAAAGUGAAAAACCUGGAAUUAAAAAAAAAGAAAAAUAGAAAAACUGAAAAACUAAAAAUUAAAAAAAAAACAAAUAGAAAAAUCCAAAAAUUAGAAAAUCGAAAAACCGUGGAAUUAAAACAUCAAAAGAUCGAGAAAACGACAAGUCGAGAAGUUGAAAAAUCUAAAAAUUGAGAAAUUGAGAAGCCCAAAAUCGAAAAAUUCAAAGCUGAAAAAUUUAAACGUAAAACCUAACAAAUCGAAAAUUUUAAAUAUCGAAAAAUUGAAAAAUCAAAAAACUGAUAAAUCGAAAAAUGUGAAAUUUAAAUAUUAAAAAAAAAAAAUUAAAAACAUACGAUCGAAAUGCCUAAAAUUUAAAAAAUCGAGAAAGUAAAAAAUGUAAAAAUUGAAAAAGUAAACAAUGGAAAAAUGGAAAAUGUAAAAUUUAAAAAAUCGAAAAAUUGAAGAAUCGAAAAAUGUAAAAACAAGAAAUCGAAACUUCGAAAGAUCCAGAAAUCGAAACAUCAAAAAAAUCAAAAACCUAAAAUUCAAAAAAUUGAAAAAUCGAAAAAGUAAAAAAUCAAAAAACCGAUCAUUCGAGAAAUUGAGAAAUCGAAAAAAGAUCGAGAAACUGAAGAAUCUAAAAAUUAGAAAAUCGAAAAAUCGAAACAUCAAAAGAUUGAGAAAGCGAGAAGUUGAGAAAAGUUGAAAAAUCGAAAAAUUGGGAAAUCGAGUAGCCCAAAUUGAAAAAUUCAAAAUUUGAAAU